GCGGGUGUAGCUCAAUGGCAGAGCACCAGCCUUCCAAGCUGGCAAUGCGGGUUCGAUUCCCGUCACCCGCUCAA
rnacentral:tRNA from 1 species